UAUAAGAGAAGAAAAUAUAGGAAAAGGAGAGAUCUUGAUUCUUCUCUCUCAAAUCAACUUAUUUAUAGCUUAGCCCUAAACAUAACAAAAUAAUAUGGUACAGUCAGUGUUCGUAUCGGUAUCGCUAUAAGUUUCGUUGGUCAGGGAUGCGGAAACAAUAUCGAUAUUGCAGAUAACAUCGCCGAUAACCGGAAAUGCGGGGAAAUAUUGGGUAAACAUAGGGAAAUGGUGCAAAUUUUCAGUGAAACUUUAGAAGAUGCUAAAAUACACAUAUUUACAUAUUUAGGAAUUAAAAAAAAUGUAAAAAGAAUGCAUACAUAAUAAGUUUCCAUUUAAUGGGGGCGUUAAAGCAAUGUUUUGUCGUAAGAAAUUAGUCUAACCAUCUCAUCUAUCCAUCCUACCUUCUAUCAAAAUAUCCAUUGAUAUUUCAAAAUAUCGACAACACAAUAUUUUGCUGAGAAAUUGUCAACAACUAGAAAGGAAAUGAAAGAUUGUGGUCUUGAUAUAGCUCACAUUGCAAUAAUGAUAAUAUCACGAUAUUACCGUCGACAAAAUUGAACACUACAUGCAACCAUGCAUCUAAUUUUUUUUUUUUUUUUGAAAUGGAAACUUUUUCAAUAAAUAGAUUUUUGGCAAUAUUAUUGAAAUAUCUCCAAUCCACUUGCAAUGUAAGCGACACCGAAAAUUUACACAAUCGAAAAUAUUGGCGAUACAUUGGCAAUACAAGUAACACCUGGAAUUUACACGAUAAAAAAUAUUGUUGAUAUCAAUACAUUGGCGAUAUUUAACAAUACAUUGCCUAUACCUAGAAUUUCUGAUACUACCAGUAUUAUUAGUAUCUGAUGCAGGACAUGAAAUUCAAAUAUGAUGUGCAAGAUUUUCAGGCUUUAGAUCACGUUAGUUUAGAAACAAUUACACAAAAUUCCAUAUCCCACACAAAAGUUCAAGCAUUCAAUCAAGGGGAAUCUAUGCAGGCCCAGGCCUACACAAGCUAGGGUUGGAUCAAUCAAAAUUAUAGACCAAACAAUAAUAAAAGGAGGGAAAAUUCAUCCACACAUGCAUAGAAAUAAUUCCCUAAUUCAAAGGGUUCACAGAUUUCAAUUCAGGGAACCCUAAGGUUGAAGAAAGGGCAUAAAAUUGGGGAUUUGAGUAAUUUAGGGUUAGGGAUUUGGGGUGAAAGAGAAGAGAGAGACGAACCAGAGAAGCGUCACAUGCGUGGACAACGGUGAAGGCGCAGAUGCACGUGCGCUGGAGGUGUCCCGCAUGUGUGUCGGGCCCACAAAUCGAAAAAUGGCCAGCUUGGCCCUAGACAACCAGGGGUGGGCCACAAAACCUCCAAAUUUCAGCCUGAUCUGAUACACGGUUUGUGCGUGGUGCUUCGCCGAAGUUUCAGCGAUCCUGUAGGGCCAGAUUCUGAAAAUUUGCUGUAGAGAGAAAAACGGUUGCAAUAGAGGAUGAAUUUGAAGCGUAGAUGAUUGUAGGAGAAGAGAAAUAUGGAUGGUAAAAAGUGGGGGCGAAUCGGAAUAGGUGUGGCUUCGCAUCACGGUAGUCAGCCCUUCGAGUAAAGGAGGGUUUCACACCCAAUUGAAUCUCCACAACUCAGAAAUUUAGAGGAGCAGAAAAA